AUGUAUACAUUAAACAAAUAUAGAGCACCUGAAUGAUAAUACACUUCGUUAUAAAAAUACUUAAAUAUAUCUAACAGCUCCAAAUGUAAAUGUUUGAGUUGCUAGUGUGUUAAAUCAUAUGUUGCAGUAUCACUCAGUACAAAUUGAGACGUAUGGUGUUACGCGAUUUAAAAUAGAAAGCAUUAAUGUGACAGCUAGCCGCAAAAUCUUAAAUACAUCUUGGUGAAAAACCGAGGGGAACAUAUGAUUAUUAAAAACUACGCAGAAAAUGGAAAUGUAUUGCCUAAAAGAUCGUAGUGCCUUACUUUACCAAAAUCAAUUAGCAAAACUGCCUCAGCCAAUAUCGGGUUGCAUUUAAAUAACUUUACACUAGCAAUGCACUUGCAAGAUGAAAACAAUGUGCAUAUGUACAUGCUCGUACAAAUAGGCUCAGUUACUGUUACAAACCUAGCUAACUGUAUUAAACAUUCAUCUUUCUUAGGUAAUGACAGGCACUUAUCGGUUGAAGUUUGAGGUUACUCAAAAAAUAUUUUUGGAUUUGAUUUUUGCCUGUGAAUAGAACAGUAAAACUUCUCGUCGGUAAAAUCCUUUAAAGAGUCAAAAUGUUACAGUAGUGGGGACACCAGCAGUGAAUGGCAAGGCUGAUAAAAGGGGAGGGCUGACUGAUUGAUUGGCGGACGAUGUAGCAACAAGAGCAUAUUAAUGAAAGUCUGAUAUCCUUUCGAAUACCGCUACCGUACAUCGUCGCGCUACCGUAACCGCCUAAUGCAGACCAAUUGUUCAAGGGUGCUGGGUACCGCUACUGUUUUACUGUAGGAAUACCGUAGACGACUGAAACGUACCAAAAUAGUAGGUACGUCCAGUUCCACAGCCGCAAAAUGCACAUUUUCCACAUAUUUGUGGUACGUUUUUCAUUAAAAUAAGAAGGAUUGUAAAUUUUAAAAACAGCAUUACUACGCUAUGGUACUUUGUCUUAGAAAUAGUAACUACACUACGGAAUUUCUUUCAAAUAUAGUAACCAUGCAAAAAUAAGCAACGGUAUUUCUUUUAAAAUCGUCAUUCAACAUUAUUCGGCUCUGGCUUUUGUAAAUUUGCUUUCAUAAAACAGCAUGAUUGUGUUUUUUUUUCUUGUAUCAAGAGUACACUGUGGUAUCACUGUUAAAUUUAAGAAAUGAGCAAAACUGCGCAGUGGUAUUACUGUGCGAUUUGUUUUAAGGACUGUGUGUUAACUUCGAUAAGGUAGACAUUUCAUGAUUGAAUUAAACUAAAUUCUGUCACUUAAGUGCACAUUGGUAGCGUUCUUGAAUCUGGAAGUAUGCAAAACUACGCAGCGAUAUUUCCUGUAUACACAUAAAACGUACUCAACAUAACACAACCCAUUUCAAAGGCGACGUUGCCUUUGAAGGUCAUUGAACGAUAGUUACGCUCCCUUUUACUGUUGAAAUAUUAGCAAUAACAUUCUUAUAAACCCAAGUGAGCAUCUAUUACCUGAUCGCUGUAAAGUUAUCAUAGAAACCAUAGUGACUGCAAAUAUAUCAACAGAACAUCCAUUACCAAAUAGCUGUCACAGUUGCAAUGAAAACCACUGCAAUAGAAAAUAAACCAACCGGACAAAUAUCACAAGGGCGCUAUCAAGGCUACAUUAGACCAACGUGACCUCUGUUAUGGAAGUUGUAUGGGAAAGCAGCAUGACUUAACACAACAUGCAUCCAUACAUAUAUGUUGAUAAAGUAAUGAUCAAGUGUCAUGGUCACCAUUUAAGAAUCUUUGGUGCUCCUAACAAGCCCACAAAAAGUAUUUAAAGUUUUCGUGUGCCAUGGGGUAUCUCAGGAAUUACCAGGUGUAUCUAAGUCGAAAGAAAGAAGUAGGGUUGACUCAAACAGUUGUAGCGAACUGAAGAGAAAACAUCACAGGACGAAGUCAUGUUGUAUUUGCCAACAAGUUUAAAACAUCAGUUCCCCUGCCUAUGGAAAAAAUCUACACAUUCGUGUCACGCAUUUAACACCAGAAGGAAAUAUUGGUCAAUCGCAAAAUCAGUCCACGAAAAGAGAUGGCAAAGUUAGGAUGUUCAGCAGAGGGGGUCACAUGGCAUGAAAUAUCUCGGAAGAGAAGCUUAUAUCCACUGCAUGAGAAUAAUCUAAACAUGUGUGCAACCCGAUAACAUGUUUCAAUCCUAUAAUAAACAUUUACAGUGUACAAACACAAAACGCUCGUUUGUGGACCUAUUGUGUGUGGUUUGCCGUGGACAUCUCACUUGUGAUUCAUCAUGUAUAAAGCGUCUACCCUCGGCAAUACCUUUUUUACAGUACGUAUAUAACAAACAUGCUGUAGAAUGUUAAAACGUUAUUAUAAUCACGUUAAAAACAUAAUUAUCAUUGCAUGUACUACCAAAAUGAAACAUGAACAACAUCUUUUAAAAUCAAUCAGCUGUUUAAUGUUUUAUGUUUUUGUUUUUAGGUUGCAUAACAACUUAUCGACGGGAAUAGCACACGUAUAAGGAAAUCCAAACAAACAAGCGCCAUUCCUGAACUUGACCUCUUUGACAAUGUGCAGUGCAGAGUCAGCUUGCACAAGUAUAAUUCUAAUGUUUAUAGAAUAAAACUCAAAUGAAAUGGUAUUUUAUUUAAGGGAAUGUUUUAUUUCGUAUUAUGGCAUUACCUCUAGAAAAGGCCGAAUGGAGGUCAAGUCGAAAAAGAAUAUGGCUCCAGAAACACUGAGGAACAAAAAACAACAACUCAAGUAUGUAAAACAAUUUCAAUAAUGUAUGUUUUUUUUAUAUUAUUGCAUUUUGAAACGACCCUUAAAUCGAAAUAAUAAACGGCCUCUUAAGUUCAUGAACAUGCAUACAUUAAAUUAUUUCUACUGUUUAAUGGCACAUCAUUAAUUUCAGAGUCUAGUUCAAGAAAGCUGUACGAUAGCGGUAAUCAGAAGCCGAAAAUUUCUUUUUUUCUGGCCACCAUUUUCUUUCUGACAAUAGUUUUGAUGUCAGCAUGCUUUUGAUGGCCUUGGCAACACAAUUGCACACACACGCAAUGUGCUAUGCAACGAUGUUUUUUUUUUACUUAUAUAAGACUUGACUGCACAUGUUAAUAAACAUGUGGCGGUGUUUUUAUUUCAGCUACAUAAGAUUUGAUGUCUUUACCGUAUGAAAGACCACGAACACAAUUGUUUACUGUUUCAUUAUUUAUACAGUUUUAACUAUAUUAAUUCCAUUAACAAUUUACAGUAAAUAUCCUCAAUAGUGAACAGUAAUUAACGAAUUUAUUCCCAGAUGUGAACACUUUCUAAAUAGUAUAAUCCAACAAUUUGUCACGUAUCCAAUUUACAAUUGCUAGUCCAGUGUGACACUAGUACGAUGUUAAAGACCUUUUAAACUAUUUUUAAUUGAACUCCUUUUAAUUCACUUUUUAAAAAAAAAUUGUCCUUUUAAUUCAACUCUUUUACUCUCUUUAAUUCAUUUUAAUUUAAUUCUAUAACUCGUUUUAAUUCCUUUCAAUUAAACUCUUUAACUCUUUUUAAUUCUGAUUCCUAACCGCCUGACAAAGGCCUUUUACACUAUCAUUUUACUGCCAAAACAAACAUGAAGUGCACGAGUAUUGUAGGUAGCACGAAUCAACGUGUAAAUCGUGCGACACCGCCGGAGAAAUGACACCGUUGAAAGCACCGGUAGACUAAUGGUGAUUAGGUACAAGGUCAACGGUGCAAAUGAAAUGCGGUCAACGGUGCCAAUGCAAUGCGGUCAACGGUGCAAAUGAAAUGUUUUACUUAAACGAUGUGCACAACUGUAAUAUUGUAAAAACUUAAGAUAAUACAAAUUAAAGUUUAAAAAUAUAAUAGUCUAGGGAUAGUUUUAUUAAACUUCGUACGAAGCCUUUUUUGCGUACGAACUUCGUGCGAAGUAUCUCAGGCCGUUUAGACGUUUUAUUAAGAUUUUUUCGUACAAACAAGCACCUGUUUUUCGUAGAACUACGAAAAUUUCUACGACAGCUCUGAGGGUGGCGUACGAACUUCGUAGACUCAAAAAAUGGCCGCCACCACAACAGAAAUACUCCAAAGUGGCGAUCUUUCAUUUAUUACGGCGUAUUUAAACAAAACCAACUGCCAAUUUCAAGACAGAAGACGUACGAUUCUGUGGAAUCUGCAACCCGGUUAAUCAGUGUGCGUUUCAGAGACGAUCGUUAAGGCGAUCGUUAGCUGAUUUUGGUAACUUACCACCAAAAUUACCGAUCGGCACCGUUUCAGAGACGCAACGUGCACCUGCUUUAUCGUUAAUUUUGCUCGUAAACCUACGACCGGUAAGAGGCACUCGUUAACUUAACGAUCAAGAUGGCGGAUGAAGAUUUUCUCCAUAUCAAAGUAUAUUUUUACUUUUUAACAACAUUUGAGAGUUUAAUAAUGCGUGUAGCAUGUCGCUGGUGUGGAAUUUUCCAACUAUGUCUAAAAAUAGCUGAAAACAGUACGAAAAUGUUCUAUUUCCGCCGUUCUGUCACAAAAGGAUUUUAACUGUAGAAGAUUCAUGCCAUUUGAUGCCAAGUGUACAAUAAAAACUGAAAUGAAAAUUGACAACAGAAGUGUCAUGGUCUUGGUGGAAAAUGCUGUGUUCUUCAUUGACCUCUGGUUUAAUAAUGGCUGGUGAUAGAAAACUAUCAGGAAUGCUUCAAGCUGGCAAUGGAGGGAAAUGUAAAAGACACUGAGAAAUCACAAGGUUUCAAACAUCUAGAAUAUGCUCACAGUCAGUCUUCAAGAUACUCACCUUAAUGGUUCCAGUGUGUUUUAGGAGACUUUGUCAGAACAGUACUUUAUACCAACAUACACUGGAGAUACCAGACCUAGCAGAUAACUACAUAUAUAUUGACACAGAACAUGAAAUUAAUUGCAUAUCCAAACACAACAUAAGACUUUAAACUGUUAAAUAGGCAGUGAGGCAUUUGUGUGUAACCUUCAUUAUUUGAAAUGAAAUUUCUUAUAUUUAUUUAAAUUUGACUUUGCAUUUAAAAGCCAUUACAGUAGCAUUAGAUUUUCUAAAUAUAUAUAUAUUUUUAUACAGUUUUAACUAUGAUGUAUAUCCAGUUGUACAUGUUUCCUCUAAAGAUUAAAACACUUUUGAAUUAUAUAGGAAAAUUUAAAUGAUACAUUUAUUCAGUCUUAUGUUAAUAUAAAAAACACACACUACCAUGGUUGAUCAUGUAAACCUUCAUACUAUCUUUUUAUAAAAAUUAAGUGAAUAUUUUGAUAUUUUUGAAUACAUUUAUUUUUACUUUGACUGGCUCAUGUUUAAACACAGAAUGCUACAUAAAGUGUAUACUCUAGUGUAUAACAUAACAUGAUUGAAAUAGAUAAUAGAUAAUAUUUUCAUGAAACUCUGAAUACUUAACCACUAUGGCAAUCUGCACCAGUUAUUAAGAUACUUUUUGUUGAAUAAUGUGUUUUGAUGAGACGAGCUUGUAAAAUAGCUGUAUUUCUUUUAGUCAUUUUGUGUAUUUGAAGCAUGUCUGCAAAUGUAGAUUUUAUCAUGUAUUUUGAAUGGAUCUGAAAUACUGUUUAUUUAACUGUUAUUACAACGAUUGACACAAUAAAGAUGGAUUUAUGAA